UAGGGAAUCUUCGGCAAUGGACGAAAGUCUGACCGAGCAACGCCGCGUGAGUGAAGAAGGUUUUCGGAUCGUAAAACUCUGUUGUUAGAGAAGAACAAGGACGUUAGUAACUGAACGUCCCCUGACGGUAUCUAACCAGAAAGCCACGGCUAACUACGUGCCAGCAGCCGCGGUAAUACGUAGGUGGCAAGCGUUGUCCGGAUUUAUUGGGCGUAAAGCGAGCGCAGGCGGUUUCUUAAGUCUGAUGUGAAAGCCCCCGGCUCAACCGGGGAGGGUCAUUGGAAACUGGGAGACUUGAGUGCAGAAGAGGGGAGUGGAAUUCCAUGUGUAGCGGUGAAAUGCGUAGAUAUAUGGAGGAACACCAGCGGCGAAGGCGGCUCUCUGGUCUGUAACUGACGCUGAGGCUCGAAAGCGUGGGGAGCAAACAGG
rnacentral:rRNA from 1 species